ACACAUGCAAGUCGAGGGGCAGCAUGGUAGGUAGCAAUACUUAUUGAUGGCGACCGGCGCACGGGUGAGUAACGCGUAUGCAACUUACCUAUCAGAGGGGGAUAGCCCGGCGAAAGUCGGAUUAAUACUCCAUAAAACAGGGGUCCCGCAUGGGACUAUUUGUUAAAGAUUCAUCGCUGAUAGAUAGGCAUGCGUUCCAUUAGGCAGUUGGCGGGGUAACGGCCCACCAAACCGACGAUGGAUAGGGGUUCUGAGAGGAAGGUCCCCCACAUUGGUACUGAGACACGGACCAAACUCCUACGGGAGGCAGCAGUGAGGAAUAUUGGUCAAUGGCCGAGAGGCUGAACCAGCCAAGUCGCGUGAAGGAUGAAGGAUCUAUGGUUUGUAAACUUCUUUUAUAGGGGAAUAAAGUGUGGGACGUGUUCCAUUUUGUAUGUACCCUAUGAAUAAGCAUCGGCUAACUCCGUGCCAGCAGCCGCGGUAAUACGGAGGAUGCGAGCGUUAUCCGGAUUUAUUGGGUUUAAAGGGUGCGUAGGUGGUAAUUUAAGUCAGCGGUGAAAGUUUGUGGCUCAACCAUAAAAUUGCCGUUGAAACUGGGUUACUUGAGUGUGUUUGAGGUAGGCGGAAUGCGUGGUGUAGCGGUGAAAUGCAUAGAUAUCACGCAGAACUCCAAUUGCGAAGGCAGCUUACUAAACCAUAACUGACACUGAAG
rnacentral:rRNA from 1 species